UACGUAGGCAGCGAGCGUUGUUCGGAUUUACUGGGCGUAAAGGGCGCGUAGGCGGCUCAACAAGUCACUUGUGAAAUCUCCGGGCUUAACUCGGAACGGUCAAGUGAUACUGUCGAGCUAGAGUACAGAAGGGGCAACUGGAAUUCUCGGUGUAGCGGUGAAAUGCGUAGAUAUCGAGAGGAACACCUGCGGCGAAGGCGGGUUGCUGGGCUGAUACUGACGCUGAGGCGCGAAAGCCAGGGGAGCGAACGGG
rnacentral:rRNA from 1 species